rnacentral:rRNA from 1 species
UGCCAGCCGCCGCGGUAAUACGGAGGGCGCAAGCGUUGUUUGGAAUUACUGGGCGUAAAGCGCGGGCAGGCGGUUCGUUAAGUCUUCUGUGAAACUCCGGGGCUCAACUCCGGACAUGCAGGAGAUACUGGCGAACUAGAGACCAGUAGAGGCUAGCGGAAUUCCUGGUGUAGCGGUGGAAUGCGUAGAUAUCAGGAAGAACACCUGUGGCGAAGGCGGCUAGCUGGGCUGGAUCUGACGCUGAGGUGCGAAAGCUAGGGGAGCAAACAGGAUUAGAUA